rnacentral:rRNA from 1 species
CGUUCCCAUACCGAACACGGAAGUUAAGCUCUUCAGCGCCGAUGGUAGUUGGGGGUCUCCCCCUGUGAGAGUAGGACAUCGCCAGGC